rnacentral:rRNA from 1 species
AGAACGAACGCUGGCGGCAUGCCUAACACAUGCAAGUCGAACGAGACCUUUCGGGGUCUAGUGGCGCACGGGUGCGUAACGCGUGGGAAUCUGCCCUUGGGUUCGGAAUAACAGUUAGAAAUGACUGCUAAUACCGGAUAAUAUCGCGAGAUCAAAGAUUUAUCGCCCGAGGAUGAGCCCGCGUAGGAUUAGCUAGUUGGUGAGGUAAUGGCUCACCAAGGCGACGAUCCUUAGCUGGUCUGAGAGGAUGAUCAGCCACACUGGGACUGAGACACGGCCCAGACUCCUACGGGAGGCAGCAGUGGGGAAUAUUGGACAAUGGGCGCAAGCCUGAUCCAGCAAUGCCGCGUGAGUGAUGAAGGCCUUAGGGUUGUAAAGCUCUUUUACCAGGGAUGAUAAUGACAGUACCUGGAGAAUAAGCUCCGGCUAACUCCGCGCCAGCAGCCGCGGUAA